CUCCUGUUUGACAACAGCCCGCCAGCAAGAGCUCACAGCUAGCAGCUCUGAGAAUAUGCACUGGAGACAAAACUUACGUCAAAGGCAACGCGGGGCUUCCAGUUUAGCUUCUGCUGAGCCUUGGAGCAGUCUCCCUGCAGAAAGUCCUGUGGAGAGAUGGCAGAUGAGCUGUGCAUGCAUGGGCUUGUCAUACCCCUUGCCCAAUCUGUCUCAUCAGGUACUUACCAUCGGGUCAGCUAGGACCUUGCAAGUCCACUUUCAGAGAAGAGUGCUGACAACCACUGACACGGCCCAGGAGUGGGCCUUAACAUACAGCACAGAGCCAAGCCUAAUCGGCUUGCUCGGCUCUGACUUUACCGGGGGAAACACAUGUGGAUUCAGGCUUCCUGGAGAAUUCUAGCAAGAGAAGUUCACAAUUAUUCAUUUAAGAGGUUUCCUUGGAAAGAAGACUGGCAACAAACAAGAAACAGAAGAGAAGAAAAUCCUCUAUCUUGGCCCUCACUCACAGUUCUUUAUUGCAGGUCUCAAGACUAGUGGGAAUUUCAAGAUAAGAUGAAAGGGAAGAGAGGAAAGGAAGAAAAAAGCAGGGAACUCCAGUUAGGUCUAUUCGUAUGAGGAUACCAUAUGAAUAUGCCAAGACUCAAAAUAACCAGGGACUGGGCAGGAAGGGAGGGGGGAGGUGAUCUUUAUAGUGAUAAGUAUUACAUUAAGGCACUUUAUUUUAGCAGUACACUAUUGGACAAGUGAACCAUCCCUCUGAGUGACAGCCACCGAUAAUCGUAACCAUGCUGCAGUAAAAGGCUUCUCCUGCUCUCAGUCUCCUGAACUCGGCAGGCAAAGGCAUUUUAUUCUGGAUUUCAGAUGGGUAGGCUGGGGUUAGGUAUAAGCUAUCUGUGUGUGCACACAAUGUGCUCACCUGGGCCUUCCAAGCAGAGGCGGUCUGGAUUCCCUUUCCCAGCCUGACUCUUACUCAAGCAGAGGACAUUCAGGGACUCUCCUUCUCAAUCAUCCAGCAUUGCUUUUUAGGCUUGAAUAAAUCAAAUUCCCAAAGGCUUUGCAUUUCACAAUAUGCUGAAGUACCCACUUCCUCCCCAGAGUGUUCACCAGAGUGAAGCAAGUUAUUUCUGCAGGCCUAAAAGCCCAUUUCCAGACUCCCCAGGAAAGGUAGGAUACCAGAAUUAGUAAUUUGCGUUUAUAGCACAGUGCUACCUGGAGCUGCCAGUGUAGGUGAAAAAAACAAACCAAGUAAUUUAUUUCUCUUUUCUCUCCCUAAAUAAACUUGAAUAUCCUUUUA
rnacentral:lncRNA from 1 species